UACGUAGGGGGCAAGCGUUGUCCGGAUUCAUUGGGCGUAAAGAGCGUGUAGGCGGCCAGGUAGGUCGGUUGUGAAAACUGGAGGCUCAACCUUCAGACGUCGACCGAAACCAUCUGGCUAGAGUCCGGGAGAGGAGAGUGGAAUUCCCAGUGUAGAGGUGAAAUUCGUAGAUAUCGGGAGGAACACCAGUGGCGAAGGCGACUACCUGGCCUGUUCUUGACGCUGAGGCGCGAAAGCUAGGGGAGCAAACGGG
rnacentral:rRNA from 1 species